GUUAUCUGUCCAGACUACUGAGUACAACUUUAACCAUGUGAACAUGAGGUCAGCAUCAUAAAUCUCUGUUCCCAGUGGACCUUGUAGAAAGACACCAUAUGCAGCCAGUCAGCCAGCCAGACCAGAGGGGUGCAGACAGACAGACAGAUGGACAGACAGACUGGCCAAGACACAUAGAUACCUUCUGAUCCUACUGUCUUCCUGCUCUGGUGCUCCUGAAUGUUGCCAAGCAGCAUUGCGACUGUUGGACUAAUUUCUCAAAGCCAACUUUGUUGUUGUUGUGGAAUGUUCUAAACCUGUUCCAGAAUGUUCUAAGACCAUUCUGGAAUGUUCUAAAACUGUUCCAUUGACGUUCCAUUGGAAUGUUCUCAGACUUCCAUUCUCUGAGACGUACAUCAACAGUCAGACAAUGUGAGGUUUCUAAUGUAGCAGACCCUCUCUGGAACUGAUGUGUAGAAGAUGUGAACGAUGAACAUUUCUGAAACAGAGGAUCCAACUGCUUUGUGAAAAGCUUCAUGUACAGUUUUGAAGAUGUUUCUUAUGAAAGAAAUGUAUAUAUUUAAUGCCUGCUUCUUUAUUUUAAUUUUAUAAAAAUAUAGAAGUAUAAAUUGCAGUCUGUAUUAUGUCCC
rnacentral:lncRNA from 1 species